UAAUUUUAUACAUUUUAUUAAUAUAUUUUAACGUAUAAGUAAUUAUAUUAAAAUAGAAUUUACGAAUUUUGAAAUAAAUAUUUAAGUAACGAAUAUUUAUUUUUUAUACGUUUUAAAUAUUUCAACGAUUUAUGAAAUUAAAAUAAUUUUAGAACUUUUGUUGAAAAGAAAUCGAAUUACGAAAACCGUUUGAAGUUGGAAAACAAUCCUAAUUGGUUUUGGAUUCAAAUACUUAAACUCAAUCCUAGUUCUAGCCCAAAUUGAUAAAGCCCAAAUAACAAAAACUCAAAUUCUUUACUCCCUCCUCUUUCUAUUUCACGUGAAACCAAAAACACCAAAACCCUCAAACCUUGCUUCCUCCUUCACGUGAACCUGCAGCCCUCACCUCCUUCAGCGUCGCACAGCCGCCGCACCAGCUACUGCCUGGCCGCCGUCGUUGCUAGGCCACCACCUCCUCCGUCGAUCGCCACCACCACACGCCGCUAGCCUUGCCGCCGCCUGUCACUGCUGCCACGCUUCCCAACCUCCGGCGGUCUCCCUCCUUUCUCCUCCACGCACGCAACAAGCUUCCCCUUUCUUCUUUUCUUGCUUCACCAUCAGCACAACCACCACCGUCGCUGCCACCUGACAGUCGUGCCGCACCGCACUCCUGCGCCUGUGCUGCACCGCCGUGGCCGCCGUCGCUCCCUGCCCAGCCGGCGCCCUUGCUCUUCACUCUCUUCUUGAUUUGGCGGAGAAUUCUCUUUAGGCGACUUUUGAAAGUGUUAAAGUGGCCUAUCAGUUUGUUUACACAAGGGAUAAAAUGUUUCUUUCCAAGUAUACCAAUAUAGGAUCCUUCGAGAAACUUGAUAUAGAAACCCCAGAUAUUUAUGUGAAGAAAAUUGUGUUUGGAUGUGAAUAUUAUGCUAAGGUUCAAGGGCAACCUAUCUUAAUGAGAAAGGAUAUCAUAGCAGCCACUAUCAUUAAUUGCUUACCUAACAAAUUUCCAUACCUAGAACUCAAGGAAAAGUUUAAAGACAUGCAUUCUGAUAAUGGAACUCCAAACUUGGCUAAGUAUGGAACUUGGGAUGGUAGAUGGAAAUAUGAUUCAGAAAUUCUGACCACCGUUAUUGAAGCGGCAGAAAGUGGGUUUAGAGACGGUAAAAUCGUAGGGAGUCAUGUUGGGGAUUCAGUUACAGAAGAACCUAUGGGAAUAAGUGUAAAUAAUGACCUAGAGGAAAAUGAUGUGGCUGUGGAGAAUGAGAAUGUAGGUGUUGAGGCAGAGAAUCCUAACCUAGUGGCCCAUGAGCCAACCAUCGAAAUUUCUAGUGACUCAGAUGCAGAGCUCGAAAGUGAACAGGAGAUUGCAAGUGAGCCUAAUCAAGAUGGAGACAGGGGAGAAGAUGCGAACCCUGAGGAAGACCCCGAUGAAGACCCUGAAGAAGAGUUCGAUGAUCUUGAGAUCUAAAUGUCACUCCGCAAGUUCCAGGAGCAAUGGAUAGGCAAGAGGCCACAAAUAUUUUGAAGUCAUAAAUAGUUAAUUAGCUCUUUUAUGUUUUAAAAAAAUAAGUAGCAAAGCUACAACAGUUUAAGGUUAAAGUUUAUUGAAGUUUGAAAUGUUCUUUAUUAUUUUCAAGGAUAUAAUAAACCUUUAUAGAGUCAGCAAUAGAAGUUAAAGUAUUUUUUUUUCCAAUUUGGGAAUUCCAUAAUUCGCCAACAGUAGUUUAAAUUUAUAUCAUAGAACCUUUACUUUAUUUUAGGACAAACUCGAUGUUACGAUUUAGGAAGUGUUAUCAACAUUUUGUUUCGAGGAAUAAAGCUAGAUUAUAGAUAAUCCAAAUGAUCAUGAGUUUAUUUUGGGCACCCGAAUGGGAAUAUUAUUACUUAUUUGUUGUGAUUGAACUUCCAUUCAUUGGUUUUCAAAUUGUAUGUCCUUGAUGGGGAUAUUUCCUUGAAUGAGUGACGAUGAUUGCUCUAUUAUUGGUGUACAUUCUUGAAUAAGUGUUUGUUGAUGCGAUCUCUAUGAUCAAAUCUAAAUUUCUUUCGUAGAGGGGAAAUAUGAGUAUGGAUCGUAGAGUAAUUAAUUUUAGGUCGCACACUAGAAUGUCAAGCAAUAAUGACUUAGUUGUCGCUAUUCGCCUCUUGACGGAAAAGAUGAUCCAAGAGAGAAUUGAGCGUCCCGAUUCUGCUGGGGACAUGUUUAAAAAGACUAGCCAAAGUUAAGUCACCAUACUUUAAGGGGGAAACUGAUCUUACUUUUUAGAGAACUAGGUUAGAGAGUUCGAGAAACUGUUUGGGGAUUUGAACUGUCUUGAGAACAUGAGAGUGGGUCAAGUUGUACUGUACUUGGAAGAUGAAGCUGAUUUAUGGUGGAGAGAAAAUGGGGUUAGACUUAGCGCUGUUGAGAGAUUCAAUUGGGAUCCGUUUUUUUUUUUACUGCCUUAAGGAAACCCCUUUUAUGAGAAAGCAAAAGGCACAAGAAUUCAUAAACCUUAGGAUGGAAUUGACUAAGUUUGUACAAGUCUAAGAUAGACGUACUGUGAAAUUCAGAAAGUAAAUGUAAGGAACCAUAUUGGAAGAUUGACCUCGUAUAGAUGUUUUGGGUAGUCCAAGAACCUUUGGUUAUUUCUGUAAUGCGAGUGAGGAAAUUGAUGAAUAGGGAGCGUGAACUAUUUUUCUGUAGGGUGCUAGAUGGGAGUAAAGAAAUUGGGGUCAAGAUCGAGGACGUUCCCAUGGUGAAUGAAUUCUUUGAUGUGUUUCCGAGUGAAAUUGCCAGUACGUCACCAGCUAGAGCCCUUGAGUUCACAAUAGAGUCGAAUCCCGGACCGACACCUAUAUCCAGAGCACUUGAUAGACACCUCUUGGAAUGAGUGAAUUGAAGACAUAGUUUCAAGAAUUGUUCGAUGAGGGUUAUAUUAGGCCUAAUGCAUCACCACGGGGAGCUCUGGCGUUGUUUAUUAAGAAGAAAGAUGAGAGUGUGAGAUUGUGUAUCGAUUUUAGGGAGCUAAGCAAUGUAACCAUCAAGAACAAGUAUCCUUUGCCUAGGAUAGAUGACAUAUUGGGUCAAUUGAAUUGGGCGAGUGUGUUCUUGAAGACUGAUUGUGUUUGAAGUAUCACCAAUUGAGGAUAGCUGAUAAGGGCCUAUAAGACCUCAUUAGGACUCGUUAUUGUCAUUAUGGGUUUAGAGUAAUGUCGUUUGGGUUAACCAAUGCACAUGCCAUAAUUAUGGAUUUGAUGGAUGAGAUUUUCUACGAAUUCCGAAUUAAGUUUGUUAUGAUGUUAUUGAUGAUAUCCCUAUUUAUGCAAGGAAUGAGAAAGAGCAUGACAAACACUUGAGGAUUACUUGGAGACGCUUAGGAAGAAUCUAGUUUUAUUAGAUGAAGUAUACAAAUCUUGAAGUCAUAUGUGUAUAAGUGACACCAACGGAAAAGUGAAGGACUAACUUGAUUGAGAACUAUGUUACGUAAGGGAAUAAAUCUAAGAGACGGUUGGAGUGGUCCAGGAUCGUUAGAAAUUUGUUGUCUUGAAAAGAAGGGAAUAUAUGAAUUGGUGAAAUACUAGGAUUGAAGCCCAAGAGUUAUACAUCCAUGAAAGGCGUAAUGAGGUUCAGUAGAAAAGGAAAGUGGCGCAGAAGGAGUGUCUGUAGAUCCUACUAAGGUUCAAGCUGUGAGUGAGUGACCUACUCCAAAGAACGUGUCUAAUGUUUGAAGUUUCCUAGGCCUAUUGGACUAUUAUAGGAGGUUUCCGAGAGACUUUUCGAAGAUAGCAAGACCAAUGACCAAUCUGAUGAAAAAGGAAUCAAAGUUUGAGUGAAGGGAGAAAUGUGUAAAAGCUUUCCAGAUUGUAAAAGAGCAUUUGACCCCCGCACUCGUUGUCACGUCAGUUGAAACCUUACGAGGCUAAUUAACCUACUCAUGACCUAAAGCUAGCUGUUAUUGUGUUAUAUGCGAAUAUUCGGAGACAUUACCUUUAUAGGGCAACAUGUAAGAUCCUUACCGAGCACAAAAGUCUGAAAUUUUGGCAAUAAGGUCCAGUUGAAGCUUGGGGACAACAUUGAAAAUGAUACUGCUUUCCACCCUGUAACCGAUGGUCAGCUUGAGAGCACUAACCAAACCAUGGGAGAUAUGUUGAGAGCAUGUACUAUUGACUUUAAAGAGAAGUUGGGAGAUCAUUUAGAUUUGAUUGAAUUGUCGUGCAUCGAUAGUUACCAUGCGAGCAUUACGAUGUCACAUGUUGAGGCAUUGUGUGGAAAAAGUGUAGAAGCCCAUUGCUGGAAUGAUUUGAGUGAAAAUAUUGUAUUGGGGACAUAAUUCGAUGAAGUGAAAGUAUCCAAAGUUAUUCCCUGAGAUGAGUUACGAGGGCGUAACUCGUUUUCUUUAAGGGGGUAGAAUGCGAUAGAAAUUCGCGCUUUUUACCUAUUUUUAUAGCAAUUUUAUGCAUUUUAUGCUAAUUUUUAGCAACUUAUACAUGUUUGUGCAAAGUAAAUAAAUUCUCCGCAUAAGAAAAAGGUGUUCAUGAGUAACACAAGCAUCCUUGAGUUGGCAAAAGAGUGCACAAGAGUGGCACAAAGUACUUCUACAGUAAGAAUAAGUUGAAAACUUUUGAAAAAUGUGUGAAUUUUCGUGUCAAGUUUCGGGACGAAACUUCUUUUAAGAGGGGUAGAUUGUAAUCCCCCGUAAUUUUAUACAUUUUAUUAAUAUAUUUUAACGUAUAAGUAAUUAUAUUAAAAUAGAAUUUACGAAUUUUGAAAUAAAUAUUUAAGUAACGAAUAUUUAUUUUUUAUACGUUUUAAAUAUUUCAACGAUUUAUGAAAUUAAAAUAAUUUUAGAACUUUUGUUGAAAAGAAAUCGAAUUACGAAAACCGUUUGAAGUUGGAAAACAAUCCUAAUUGGUUUUGGAUUCAAAUACUUAAACUCAAUCCUAGUUCUAGCCCAAAUUGAUAAAGCCCAAAUAACAAAAACUCAAAUUCUUUACUCCCUCCUCUUUCUAUUUCACGUGAAACCAAAAACACCAAAACCCUCAAACCUUGCUUCCUCCUUCACGUGAACCUGCAGCCCUCACCUCCUUCAGCGUCGCACAGCCGCCGCACCAGCUACUGCCUGGCCGCCGUCGUUGCUAGGCCACCACCUCCUCCGUCGAUCGCCACCACCACACGCCGCUAGCCUUGCCGCCGCCUGUCACUGCUGCCACGCUUCCCAACCUCCGGCGGUCUCCCUCCUUUCUCCUCCACGCACGCAACAAGCUUCCCCUUUCUUCUUUUCUUGCUUCACCAUCAGCACAACCACCACCGUCGCUGCCACCUGACAGUCGUGCCGCACCGCACUCCUGCGCCUGUGCUGCACCGCCGUGGCCGCCGUCGCUCCCUGCCCAGCCGGCGCCCUUGCUCUUCACUCUCUUCUUGAUUUGGCGGAGAAUUCUCUUUAGGCGACUUUUGAAAGUGUUAAAGUGGCCUAUCAGUUUGUUUACACAAGUCUCUAAGGAUCAAUAAGCGUUGCCCAUCUACAGGUUUGAAGAUGAUGCAUCAUUGGGAUCGGGAUUAGAGAGCUUAUAGUUCUAUUUGUUUAAUUAAGUGAUUUAAUUUGUUAACUUGGAUUUGAAAUUUGUCGUACUAUUUAUAUUUCCUUAUUUUCGUUUAUUGGUUUUGGGAUUAAACCUGUAAUCAAUUACCUAUAAACCUCAAAUUAGUUUUAUGUUUUCCGCUGCAAAA